GCCCUCUCUCUGCUUUGCUCCUGCAGUGUGCCGGGACUUUGCCAUCUUGGAGGAUCACACCUUGGCCCACAACCUGCAAGAACAGGAGAUCGAGCACCACUUGGCCACCAACAUCCAGCGGAACCGCCUGGUCCAGUACGACUUGCAGGUGGCAAAGCAGCUUCAGGAGGAAGAGAACCGCAAGGCGCACGGCCGCAUCCAGAAACGCCACAAAAACAUAGAGCAGCAGGACUGCGAGAUCGCUCAGGAAAUCCAAGUCAAGCUGGUCAUCGAAGCGGAGCAGAAGCGGCGGCAGGAAGAGGACGAUGAGGUGAGCGC